rnacentral:rRNA from 2 species
AACACGUGGCCAAACUACCCUUCGGAACACAAUACCCUCGGGAAACUGAGGCUAAUAGUGUAUACCAUACCACCACUGGAAUGAGUGGUACGCCAAACGCUCCGGCGCCGAAGGAUGUGGCUGCGGCCGAUUAGGUAGACGGUGGGGUAACGGCCCACCGUGCCAAUAAUCGGUAUGGGUCAUGAGAGUGAGAACCCAGAGACGGAAUCUGAGACAAGAUUCCGGGCCCUACGGGGCGCAGCAGGCGCGAAACCUUUACACUGCACGACAGUGCGAUAGGGGGAUCCCAAGUGCACAGGCAUAGCGCCUGUGCUUUUCGGUACCCUAAGGCGGUACCAGAAUAAGGGCUGGGCAAGACCGGUGCCAGCCGCCGCGGUAAUACCGGCAGCCCAAGUGAUGGCCGAUCUUAUUGGGCCUAAAGCGUCCGUAGCUGGCCGCGCAAGUCCAUCGGGAAAUCCACCUGCUCAACAGGUGGGCGCCCGGUAGAA